GUCAAAUCAUCAUGCCCCUUAUGUCCUGGGCGACACACGUGCUACAAUGGCUGGUACAGAGGGCAGCGAAGCGGUGACGCGGAGCCAAUCCCUAAAAAGCCAGUCUCAGUUCGGAUCGCAGGCUGCAACUCGCCUGCGUGAAGGAGGAAUCGCUAGUAAUCGCGGAUCAGCAUGCCGCGGUGAAUACGUUCCCGGGCCUU
rnacentral:rRNA from 1 species